UCUUACUAAUUGUUUUUCAAUAAUUCUACAGCGACCGUGGUUUAGCGACAUUUUUGGUGACCGACUGAUGUGGCACUGCCACAUCAGUAUGAGAGAGGAAGUGAAAAAAGAAGAAGUCAAUACCCGGAACAUGGGUUUACUCUUCUCACUUUGCCAAACAGUCUUUUAUCUCUAGCAUCAAUAUUAUCUUCCUCUCUCAUGCUAGACGCCAAACCGAACUCCAACAUCGUUGAACAAG
rnacentral:lncRNA from 1 species